rnacentral:rRNA from 1 species
CCUACGGGAGGCAGCAGUGGGGAAUCUUGCGCAAUGGGCGAAAGCCUGACGCAGCCAUGCCGCGUGAAUGAUGAAGGUCUUAGGAUUGUAAAAUUCUUUCACCGAGGACGAUAAUGACGGUACUCGGAGAAGAAGCCCCGGCUAACUUCGUGCCAGCAGCCGCGGUAAUACGAAGGGGGCUAGCGUUGCUCGGAAUUACUGGGCGUAAAGGGAGCGUAGGCGGAUAGUUUAGUCAGAGGUGAAAGCCCAGGGCUCAACCUUGGAAUUGCCUUUGAUACUGGCUAUCUUGAGUACGGAAGAGGUAUGUGGAACUCCGAGUGUAGAGGUGAAAUUCGUAGAUAUUCGGAAGAACACCAGUGGCGAAGGCGACAUACUGGUCCGUUACUGACGCUGAGGCUCGAAAGCGUGGGGAGCAAACAGGAUUAGAUACCCUGGUAGUCCACGCUGUAACGAUGAGUGCUAGUUGUCGGUCGAUGCAUGCAUGUUCGGGUUGGUACGGCGAGCGUAACCGACAUUAAAGUACACCUCCCGCCCGUUCGGGGGUAGGGGUUACCGGGGUUACCGGCCGAACGAAGUUAAAAACCGUUAACCAAACUAGUAAGUUAGUACGGGCGUGAGACGUCGCCCGAACGGACCGACCGACCGAAGGGGAAGGUUAGGG